rnacentral:lncRNA from 1 species
UUUUUUUUUUUUUUGGUAACCAAAAUGAUCCUCUGGUUACUAAAAAAGUGUUUAGUGACUUGUUGUGAUUCUUAGGCAAAGUUGAAUGAUUUUUAUGUUAAAAAAAAAUAGUUUAAUAUUUUUGGUGCAAUAAAAAUAAAAGUUUGAAUUACCAUCUACAAUUUCAACCCUACGUGGGAUAUCGUCUAGAAAAUGAUACCAUAAGACCUAACUAAUGGAGAAAAAUAACAAGUUUUGGCCUUUUAACUUUUGACCUUUGAAAUGGGCAAAACCUAUCCCAAAGGUUCAAAGUUCAAAUCAUAGACCCGGAGCCUUCCCAGUCUAGUAUGCCUGUUUUAAGGUUCGAGAUUAGAUGUAGGAAUGAUAGCUUGACAAUAGGCCCCAAAGUAAUAGCCAUGUGGCUAAAUCAUAGGUGUAACAACGUGGAGAUCCCAACUUUAAAUGUCAGCUACAAUAUUUGGUGCGAGUCCAUCCCUUCCAACCUUGGUGGAUUAAUCGAGGUACAAAUAAACUAGUCCGAACACCACUCUUAUAUACAUAUACACACACGCACAUAAUAAAAGAUUGCUUGACAUUAGCCAUAUAACUUGUAUUUUGUGUAAUCAUACACCUUAUUUGCGCCUCCUACGCCAUCUAACAAUGAAAGAAGGUGACACCCACAAAAACAUGUUGAUCUGCUAAACUGCCACCAUUGAGUUGGCAUAAAAGUUAAUCCCUUUUCCUUGCUAUGAGCGGAUUGCGAGGCCAUUUACACAGAGCCAUUAGUUAUCUAAAUCAGAAAACAAAAACUCCAAAUAUGAUUUACUUGCUGAAUGUACAACAAAGUGUUAUUACAUGGAGGAGACUCGAGGAAAAAUUCUAAAGCUGAGCCAGCCUUUUGUAAGUCACUCGAAUAUAAACUGUUACAUCUACUACUUUCACAAACAUGUUCGUUUCUGGACAUACAACAAACAUAAAAAUAGAGGAGGACUAUCUACAUUCCAUUGUACACCAAUCAUGGAUGGGCGAAAGGACUCUUUAAAUAUCAUUUUCUAACUACAAAUCAUAUGCAUUCUGUCCUUUCCUCAUCCUCAAGCCAACAAAAAGUGACUUUACCAAGAUAAGUACAGAAUAGUGAGUU